AAUGGAACAAUUAUGUAAUAAUUAACUUAUAUUGAUUCUUUACUUUUUUAUUUUCCUGCUCAUUGAUAAACUAAGCAGGACUGCAGUCACUGAACAUCACAGCUGAGCAUCAAACCAGGAAACUGAACUUCCUUGUUGCUUUCCCACUGACCUGAACAGUGAUAUGAAGGUUUAGACCAGAGGUGACCAACCUGUGGCCCCGGAUCUGGACAACACUAAAGAAAAACAGCCAAGAAUCAAGAAAACAAAAUCCAACAACAUUCAUUCAUAAAAUGAUAUAAAUAAAUCUAUUAAAAAUUGCAAACACAUAA